rnacentral:piRNA from 1 species
UAAUGACACAGGCUCAUUUUACGUGGU